AAAUUGAAGAGUUUGAUCAUGGCUCAGAUUGAACGCUGGCGGCAGGCCUAACACAUGCAAGUCGAACGGUAACAGGAAGCAGCUUGCUGCUUCGCUGACAAGUGGCGGACGGGUGAGUAAUGUCUGGGAAACUGCCUGAUGGAGGGGGAUAACUACUGGAAACGGUGGCUAAUACCGCAUGACGUCGCAAGACCAAAGAGGGGGACCUUCGGGCCUCU
rnacentral:rRNA from 1 species